GACGAACGCUGGCGGCGUGCUUAACACAUGCAAGUCGAACGAAGCGCGCUGGAAGCUUGCUUCUAUCAAUCUUAGUGGCGAACGAGUGAGUAAUGCGUAAUCAAUCUGCCCUUCAGAGGGGGACAACAGUUGGAAACUACUGCUAAUACCGCAUACGAUCCGACCUCGGCAUCGAGGAGGGAUGAAAGGUGGCCUCUAUUGAUAAGCUAUCACUGAAGGAGGGGAUUGCGCUUGAUUAGCUAGUUGGUGGGGUAACGUGCAACCAAGGCAAGGAACAGUAGACGGUCUGAGAGGAUGAGCGGCAACACUGGGACGGAGACACGGCCAAGAAUACUACGGGAGGCAGCAGUCGGGGACCUCCAGCAAUGGAAGAAAGUCUGACGAUGCAACACCGCGCGAGUGAUGACGGCCUUCGGGUUGUGUAGGUCUGUUAGUCGGGACGGAAGGACUUCUCGCGAAUAGUUAGAAAAAUUGACGGUACCGGGAUAGAAAGCCACGGCUAACUACGUG
rnacentral:rRNA from 1 species